GAUGAACGCUGGCGGCGUGCCUAAUACAUGCAAGUCGUGCGAACAGACGAGGAGCUUGCUCCUCUGACGUUAGCGGCGGACGGGUGAGUAACACGUGGAUAACCUACCUAUAAGACUGGGAUAACUUCGGGAAACCGGAGCUAAUACCGGAUAAUAUAUUGAACCGCAUGGUUCAAUAGUGAAAGACGGUUUUGCUGUCACUUAUAGAUGGAUCCGCGCCGCAUUAGCUAGUUGGUAAGGUAACGGCUUACCAAGGCGACGAUGCGUAGCCGACCUGAGAGGGUGAUCGGCCACACUGGAACUGAGACACGGUCCAGACUCCUACGGGAGGCAGCAGUAGGGAAUCUUCCGCAAUGGGCGAAAGCCUGACGGAGCAACGCCGCGUGAGUGAUGAAGGUCUUCGGAUCGUAAAACUCUGUUAUUAGGGAAGAACAAAUGUGUAAGUAACUAUGCACGUCUUGACGGUACCUAAUCAGAAAGCCACGGCUAACUACGUG
rnacentral:rRNA from 1 species